UACAUUGGUUUGAUCGGGAUUCUCAUCAAUUUUUUACUGAAAACCGAGUUUAAUAGUUCUCUAAAUCAAUGGCGGGCUGCCUUCGAGCAGAUUACAAAGAUAGGAGACAACUCAAAUCUUUUUUAAUUCGGAGUUUCAUCACAUCGCCAAUGUAGCCUCUU
rnacentral:sRNA from 1 species